GAUGAACGCUGGCGGCGUGCUUAACACAUGCAAGUCGAACGGUGAAGCCCAGCUUGCUGGGUGGAUUAGUGGCGAACGGGUGAGUAACACGUGAGUAACCUGCCCUUAACUCUGGGAUAAGCCUGGGAAACUGGGUCUAAUACCGGAUAGGAGCGUCCACCGCAGGGGGGGUGUUGGAGAGAUUUAGCGGUUUUGGAUGGUCUCGCGGCCUAUCAUCGUGUUGGGGAGGUAGUGGUACCCAAACGCGGAGACGUAGAUGCGGCGUGAGAGGGUGACCGCCCACACUGGGACUGAGACAGGGCCCAGUCUCCUACGGGGGGGAGCAGUGGGGAAUAUUACACAGUGGGCGCGAGCCUGAUGCAGAGGCGCCGCGUGGGAGAUGACGGCCUUCGGGUUGUAAACCUCUUUCAGUAGAGAAGAAGCUGAAGUGACGGUACCUGCAGAAGAAGCACCGGCUAACUACGUG
rnacentral:rRNA from 1 species